CUCAGGAUGAACGCUAGCGGCAGGCUUAAUACAUGCAAGUCGAACGGCAGCACGUUAAGGUGGCGAGUGGCAAACGGGUGAGUAACACGUACAUAACCUACCUUUGGCAGGGGGAAAGUCUAGGGAAACUUGGAAUAAUCCCGCAUGAGAUUGUGAUGAGGCAUCUUGUUACAAUGAAAGGAGUGAUCCGGCUGAAGAUGGAUGUGCGUCUCAUUAGGUAGUUGGUAGGGUAACGGCCUACCAAGCCAACGAUGAGUAGGGGGCGUGAGAGCGCGAACCCCCACACGGGUACUGAGAACGGACCCGACUCCUACGGGAGGCAGCAGUAAGGAAUAUUGGUCAAUGGAGGAAACUCUGAACCAGCCAUGCCGCGUGCGGGAUGAAGGCCUUACAGGUCGUAAACCGCUUUUGAUAGGGGAUAAAAGCCGGCAUUAAGUCGGAAUUGAAGGUACCUAUCGAAUAAGCACCGGCUAACUCCGUGCCAGCAGCCGCGGUAAUACGGAGGGUGCAAGCGUUAUCCGGAUUUACUGGGUUUAAAGGGUGCGUAGGUUGCAAUAUAAGUCAGUGGUGAAAGGUCGUAGCCUAACUACGGAUGUGCCAUUGAUACUGUAUAGCUAGAGUUGACACGAGGUACUUGGAAUGCGUCAUGUAGCGGUGAAAUGCUUAGAGAUGACGUAGAACACCAAUAGCGAAGGCAGAGUACCAGUGUGCGACUGACACUGAGGCACGAAAGUGUGGGGAGCGAACAGGAUUAGAUACCCUGGUAGUCCACACCGUAAACGAUGCUAACUGGAUUUUUUGGGCAAUAGGCUUGGAGAGUCUGAGGGAAACCAUUAAGUUAGCCACCUGGGG
rnacentral:rRNA from 1 species